rnacentral:lncRNA from 1 species
CUGAACCGGGAACCGUCGCGGUGGCGCUUCACCGGGGCCCUGCGCGCCGCGGACUGGCCCGUGCCGUCCCGGCAGGGCUGCGGUAGGCGUACGUGCAUACACGCCGCCGUGCAGCGGGGCGCCGCGCGGGCACGGCUGCAGCAGGAGAAAAAUGGCAGCCUGCCAAAGCAAGCUGAAUGCACAGAAGCGUCAGGUCAACCUUAAAGCAGCAGCAGGCUCUAUAGUGGGGACACGUAGGGGCCAGCAGCUGCUGCAUGCAGCAUACAGGGAAGGAGCUCCCCAUCUCUGAGGCAGAGGAGGAGAAAGACGUCUAGCAGGUCAUUGCUGCUUAGCAUGUGAGCUCGUUAUCGCAGUCUUUCAGGGAUAACAGCCUUCCCUUGCUCUACUCGCGGCUGAAACGCAAAUGAAAAAAGAUUGCUACAGCACUGCAUGUGUAAUUGAAGAUAAUUGAAACUACCUAUAAAAAAGAAAGUAAAUUACUUCCGAGAGGCUAAGUUAAAAGAAAAUCAAGGACUCAGAAGUAAAUGCCAGAUUUAAAGUAAUUCUGCUAUUUAAAGAAAUGCAUUAGGAUAGUCUUGCAUGAACUGAUCACACUUGUUUUCUUAGAUGACUUUUACCAUAUUCAGUGAACCAGUCAAAAUGUACAAGUGCAGCUAAUUUACAUUGCAAUAAAAUAUGCAUGUUGCUAACUCCUGUUUUACA